UACGGAGGUUGCGAGCGUUGUUCGGAAUUACUGGGCGUAAAGGGAGCGCAGGCGGUCCGGUCAGUCUAAAGUGAAAUCCCGGGGCUUAACCUUGGAAGUGCUUUGGAUACUGCCGGACUUGAGUACGUGAGAGGAGAGCGGAAUUCCAGGUGUAGCGGUGAAAUGCGUAGAUAUCUGGAGGAACACCUGUGGCGAAAGCGGCUCUCUGGCACGAAACUGACGCUGAGGCUCGAAAGCGUGGGGAGCAAACGGGAUUAGAUACCCCGGUAGUCCACGCCGUAAACGUUGUGCACUAGGUGUAGGAGGUAUCGACCCCUUCUGUGCCGAAGCUAACGCAUUAAGUGCACCGCCUGGGGAGUACGGUCGCAAGACUGAA
rnacentral:rRNA from 1 species